rnacentral:rRNA from 1 species
AUGGCCCGGCUCUCUUUCGUCCCCAUCUCCCUGCUGCUGCUAGCUAGCCUCGCCGCCGGCGCCGGCGCCGCAGCAGCCGCGGAUCCAGGGGAAGGGGGCCCCAGGGUCAGCGUGCAGUACGCGAGCGAGGAGGAGUCCCGGUGGCUGGACCGCUGGACGGAGAAGCAUCUGGCCCAACAAGGGUCCGGCCAAGCCAUCGAGAUUCAGCCGGGCACCGACGAGGAGUCGGCGCAACUGAGCCGCAUGUUCCCCGGCAACGCCUACAUCGGCCACAUUGAGUAUGACAAGGACCAUCCCUUUGGCAGAAUCGUCGUGGAUGCCUUCCACUCCAAAGCUCGCCAGGCGAAGCCGAACGAUGAUCUGCAGAAGCAGGGCCAGGAGGAGUCUCGCUCUCACGCCGAGCACGACGUCAAGGAUCUUUAG